rnacentral:rRNA from 1 species
CUACGGGCUGCUCCAGUGGGGAAUUUUGGACAAUGGGCGAAAGCCUGAUCCAGCCAUUCCGCGUGAGUGAUGAAGGCCUUCGGGUUGUAAAGCUCUUUCGGCCGGGAAGAAAUCGUGCAGGCUAAUAUCCUGCAUGGAUGACGGUACCGGACCAAGAAGCACCGGCUAACUACGUGCCAGCAGCCGCGGUAAUACGUAGGGUGCGAGCGUUAAUCGGAAUUACUGGGCGUAAAGCGUGCGCAGGCGGAUGUUUAAGCCAGAUGUGAAAUCCCCGGGCUUAACCUGGGAAUGGCAUUUGGAACUGGACAUCUAGAGUGUGUCAGAGGGGGGUGGAAUUCCACGUGUAGCAGUGAAAUGCGUAGAGAUGUGGAGGAACACCGAUGGCGAAGGCAGCCCCCUGGGAUAACACUGACGCUCAUGCACGAAAGCGUGGGGAGCAAACAGGAUUAGAUACCCCCGUAGUC